UGCCCAGCAACUCCUAUCCCUACGUCCGCGCAGUACUGGCCGGGGUACGAGUAACCUUAGGGAAGAUCGGGUAACCAACCCCCGGUGGGAACUUUGGUCGUAUGCUGACAGGGAAGG
rnacentral:ribozyme from 1 species